GCCCACAUAGCUCAGGUGGUAGAGCGUCGCCUUGGUAAGGCGAAGGUCGCCGGUUCAACCCCGGCUGUGGGCU
rnacentral:tRNA from 1 species